rnacentral:rRNA from 1 species
AUUGAACGCGGGCGGCGUGCCUAACACAUGCAAGUCGAACGCGAAAGUCUCUUCGGAGAUGAGUAGAGUGGCGCACGGGUGAGUAACGCGUGGAUAAUCUACCUAUUGGUACGGGACAACAGUUGGAAACGACUGCUAAUACCGUAUAAGCUGGAAACGGGAAAGGGGGCCUCUUCUUGAAAGCUCUCGCCAGUAGAUGAGUCCGCGUUUCAUUAGCUAGACGGUGGGGUAACGGCCUACCGUGGCAACGAUGAAUAGCAGGCCUGAGAGGGUGGCCUGCCACACUGGGACUGGAACACGGCCCAGACUCCUACGGGAGGCAGCAGUGGGGAAUAUUGCGCAAUGGACGAAAGUCUGACGCAGCGACGCCGCGUGGAGGAUGAAGGUUUUCGGAUCGUAAACUCCUGUCAAGAGGGAAGAAACCUAUUAAGAAUAAUACUCUUAGUAAUUGACGGUACCUCUAGAGGAAGCACCGGCUAAUUCAGUGCCAGCAGCCGCGGUAAUACUGAAGGUGCAAGCGUUAAUCGGAAUCACUGGGCGUAAAGCGCUCGUAGGUGGCUUUGUAAGUCAGAUGUGAAAGCCCACGGCUCAACCGUGGAAUUGCAUUUGAUACUGCAUCGCUAGAGUAUAGGAGAGGGAAGUGGAAUUUCUGGUGUAGGAGUGAAAUCCGUAGAGAUCAGAAGGAACACCGGUGGCGAAGGCGACUUCCUGGACUAUUACUGAC